rnacentral:rRNA from 2 species
AUGAACGCUGGCGGCGUGCCUAAUACAUGCAAGUCGAACGAGUUCUCGUUGAUGAUCGGUGCUUGCACCGAGAUUCAACAUGGAACGAGUGGCGGACGGGUGAGUAACACGUGGGUAACCUGCCCUUAAGUGGGGGAUAACAUUUGGAAACAGAUGCUAAUACCGCAUAGAUCCAAGAACCGCAUGGUUCUUGGCUGAAAGAUGGCGUAAGCUAUCGCUUUUGGAUGGACCCGCGGCGUAUUAGCUAGUUGGUGAGGUAAUGGCUCACCAAGGCGAUGAUACGUAGCCGAACUGAGAGGUUGAUCGGCCACAUUGGGACUGAGACACGGCCCAAACUCCUACGGGAGGCAGCAGUAGGGAAUCUUCCACAAUGGACGCAAGUCUGAUGGAGCAACGCCGCGUGAGUGAAGAAGGCUUUCGGGUCGUAAAACUCUGUUGUUGGAGAAGAAUGGUCGGCAGAGUAACUGUUGUCGGCGUGACGGUAUCCAACCAGAAAGCCACGGCUAACUACGUGCCAGCAGCCGCGGUAAUACGUAGGUGGCAAGCGUUAUCCGGAUUUAUUGGGCGUAAAGCGAGCGCAGGCGGUUUUUUAAGUCUGAUGUGAAAGCCCUCGGCUUAACCGAGGAAGCGCAUCGGAAACUGGGAAACUUGAGUGCAGAAGAGGACAGUGGAACUCCAUGUGUAGCGGUGAAAUGCGUAGAUAUAUGGAAGAACACCAGUGGCGAAGGCGGCUGUCUGGUCUGUAACUGACGCUGAGGCUCGAAAGCAUGGGUAGCGAACAGGAUUAGAUACCCUGGUAGUCCAUGCCGUAAACGAUGAAUGCUAGGUGUUGGAGGGUUUCCGCCCUUCAGUGCCGCAGCUAACGCAUUAAGCAUUCCGCCUGGGGAGUACGACCGCAAGGUUGAAACUCAAAGGAAUUGACGGGGGCCCGCACAAGCGGUGGAGCAUGUGGUUUAAUUCGAAGCAACGCGAAGAACCUUACCAGGUCUUGACAUCUUUUGAUCACCUGAGAGAUCAGGUUUCCCCUUCGGGGGCAAAAUGACAGGUGGUGCAUGGUUGUCGUCAGCUCGUGUCGUGAGAUGUUGGGUUAAGUCCCGCAACGAGCGCAACCCUUAUGACUAGUUGCCAGCAUUUAGUUGGGCACUCUAGUAAGACUGCCGGUGACAAACCGGAGGAAGGUGGGGAUGACGUCAAAUCAUCAUGCCCCUUAUGACCUGGGCUACACACGUGCUACAAUGGAUGGUACAACGAGUUGCGAGACCGCGAGGUCAAGCUAAUCUCUUAAAGCCAUUCUCAGUUCGGACUGUAGGCUGCAACUCGCCUACACGAAGUCGGAAUCGCUAGUAAUCGCGGAUCAGCACGCCGCGGUGAAUACGUUCCCGGGCCUUGUACACACCGCCCGUCACACCAUGAGAGUUUGUAACACCCGAAGCCGGUGGCGUAACCCUUUUAGGGAGCGAGCCGUCUAAGGUGGGACAAAUGAUUAGGGUGAA